rnacentral:tRNA from 1 species
GGGGUUGUGGCUCAGUGGAAGAGCGCUUGCCUAGCAUGUGCGGGGCCCUGAGUUCAAUCCUCAGCACCACA